rnacentral:ncRNA from 1 species
UAUUUUAUGAGUAUGAUGUCGGCUCAGAUUAAACGCUAUAUUGGGGCAUUACACAUGCAAAUGAUAAAUUAUAUAUAAAUAAUUUAUUGUGUACGAGUGAGUAUAAUACAGUAUUUGAACUAUUAUAAUAAUAAUAGUCAUAUUGUUUAUUGAUUAGGUAGUAAGGAGCUUUAAAUAGACCACUUAGCCUAUGAUCAAUAGUCAAUGGUUACCGCCAUAAUGACCACGUCAGAAUUGAAAUAUUCUGAUUGCUCAAUUUAGAGUGACUGCAGUGGGGAAUCUUGGGCAAUGGUUGAUAAGACUG